CACGAACACAGCGAAUUCAUGACCAGAGUUUAUAUAACCGAAAGGCAUACGGGUCCAGGUAUACUGCUGCUUUCCAAAUGUGAAGGCCAAUUUGUAUUGGUCUUCAUUAUGGACUGGUACAGUCCAAUAUCCCUGCGCACAGUCAAUGGCAGUGAAUAUUUUGGAUCCCUGCAUUUGUACCAAACAUUGGUCUAUGUAUGGCGUUGGCCAACCAGACAAAUAGAUGCGUUUAUUUAGCUGUCGUAAGUCAGCGCAUAAACGCCAUUGUCCAUUAGGUUUCAGAAUCCCCAAGAUCGGAUUAUUAUACGAACUGUGCACUGGACGUAUAAUGCCCCUUUCCUUUAAAUUCUGAAUGAUGUCUUGUAGACCAUCAUAUGACGCUAAUGGGAGUCCAUAUUGUUUGAUAAAUACAGGUGGUAAAUUUGGAUCAGUUUGUAUUCUGGCUACGUGGAGGUUAGUUAACC
rnacentral:lncRNA from 1 species